GAGGGUAUAGCUCAGUGGUAGAGUGUGUGCUUAGCAUGCAUGAGGUCCUGGGUUCAAUCCCUAGUACCUCCG
rnacentral:tRNA from 1 species